rnacentral:rRNA from 1 species
GUGGGGAAUAUUGGACAAUGGGCGAAAGCCUGAUCCAGCCAUGCCGCGUGAGUGAUGAAGGCCUUAGGGUUGUAAAGCUCUUUCAGUGGGGAAGAUAAUGACGGUACCCACAGAAGAAGCCCCGGCUAACUUCGUGCCAGCAGCCGCGGUAAUACGAAGGGGGCUAGCGUUGUUAGGAUUUACUGGGCGUAAAGCGCACGUAGGCGGAUCGUUAAGUCGGGGGUGAAAUCCCGGGGCUCAACCCCGGAACUGCCUUCGAUACUGGCGAUCUUGAGUCCGGAAGAGGUGAGUGGAACUCCUAGUGUAGAGGUGGAAUUCGUAGAUAUUCGGAGGAACACCAGUUGCGAAGGCGGCUCACUGGCUCGAUACUGACGCUGAGGUGCGAAAGCGUGGGGAGCAAACAGGAUUAGAUACCCGAGUAGUCC